rnacentral:rRNA from 1 species
GGCUCAGGAUGAACGCUGGCGGCGUGCCUAAUACAUGCAAGUCGAGCGAACGGACAGGAGUGCUUGCACUCCUUGAAGUUAGCGGCGGACGGGUGAGUAACACGUGGGUAACCUACCUAUAAGACUGGGAUAACUUCGGGAAACCGGAGCUAAUACCGGAUAAUAUAUACCUCCGCAUGGAGGAAUAGUCAAAGACGGUUCUGCUGUCACUUAUAGAUGGACCCGCGGUGUAUUAGCUAGUUGGUGAGGUAACGGCUCACCAAGGCAACGAUACAUAGCCGACCUGAGAGGGUGAUCGGCCACACUGGGACUGAGACACGGCCCAGACUCCUACGGGAGGCAGCAGUAGGGAAUCUUCCGCAAUGGACGAAAGUCUGACGGAGCAACGCCGCGUGAGUGAAGAAGGUUUUCGGAUCGUAAAACUCUGUUG